CUGAAAUUCGCCUUCAUGAAGCCGGAAUUGCUAGUAAUGGCAGGUCAGCAUACUGCCGUGAAUACGUUCCCGGGCCUUGUACACACCGCCCGUCACACCAUGAGAGUUGGGGAUACCCGAAGCCUGUGAGCCAACUUUUAGAGGCAGCAGUCGAAGGUAGAAUCAAUGAUUGGGGUGAAGUCGUAACAAGGUAAC
rnacentral:rRNA from 1 species